GUGCCUGACACAUAGUAGACAUAAAUCAGGCUGAAGAAUGACCAUGAUGGAGAAUUGAGAAACAAGACCAUCUGCAUCAACAGGAAUUUGAACUUUCCUACAGACCAAUUUAUUGGACAUAAUCUGGUGACCUGGGCAUCUGGUGACCUGGGAGAACUGCUCACUUAUCAAACAAGGGCUUAUUUUUUAAGAUUUGCUUCAAGACCCUCACUGUGCUAUGUCUACUAAUCCUAAAUGAAUAUACCAAAAACUUUUAUCCAAUCCUAAUCAGUUCCCUGUCUUGAAAGACCUACCUUAAAUCACCUGGGUUCAGACCUCACCAUCUUAUAACAAUCUCAGUGCUGAUAGCCUUCUUUUGAGAUACUGCUAAAACUUUCUCAAGAUGGUGUUCUCCUUUAGUGCAGAAAUUCCAAAUAAAGUUGGUUUUGCUAUAUUAACAAGUUGUUGGGUGACAUUUUUGGAAGUUUAGCAAAAAUCUCUAUAAACAUCUUUAGAAAAAAUAAGGUUAC
rnacentral:lncRNA from 10 species